UAGAUGAAAACGUUUCUUAGCUAGAGU
rnacentral:piRNA from 1 species